UCCCCUCUCUCUGAUUUCCCCUCUCCUCUCUAAACGCCCCCCUCUCUGUUGCCCCUCCCUGCAGGGUCACUUCUGCCCCCAGGGCUCCCCCCUGCCCCUGCCCUGCCCCACGGGCCAGUACCAGCCCACCGCUGGCUCAGACUCCUGCAUCCCCUGCCGCCCCGGCUUCUACUGUGAGCAGGCAGUGGUGGGAGACCCCCUGGCCUGCCCCCCACACACCUUCUGCCCCGCAGCCACCAUGGUUCCCCAGCCCUGUCCCGACGGCACCUUCACCCCCCCUGGCCAGGGGGGUCUGAGGGAGGAGAGGGAGUGCCUCUCCUGCCCCCCGGGGAGGUACUGCAGGGCUGGCCAGAUUAAAGGCGUGUGUGCGGCGGGGUACCUGUGUGUGUCGGGCAGCUCUGAGUUCACCCCUCUGGAGCGCGUCCUGGCCGAAGGGGAGGUGUGUGAGUGGGGGGUGCAGUGUGCCGGAGCGUGCCCAGCAGGGUUCUACUGUGAGGAGGGCACAGAACGGGCGAUGCCAUGCCCUGACAACACGGUGCGCAGCUCUCCUGGAGCCAGCAGCCUCAGCGACUGCCUGCCAUGCCCACCCACACACUGGUGCAGAGAGGGGGGCGCUGUUCUGCAUGCCUGCCCGGUGGGACACUACUGUGACGGCGUAGCUGACUAUGAGUCAGGGGGCAGACCAGGACCCAGGAAGUGCCCGGUGUUCACCUACAGACCCACUCCCUCAGCAGGAAGCAAAGGGGACUGCCACCCCUGCCCACCGGGGACAUUCUGCAACUCCACAGGUCUCAGUCAUUACUCUGGGCUUCUCUGCCCUCCCGGGUUCUGGUGCAGUGGGUCCAGUCCGCCGGUGCCGUGUCCUGCGGGCACCUUUAGGGCGCAGCCAGGGGCAGCUGACGUCACCCAGUGUGAACCCUGCGACCCCGGCACCUACUGCCCUGACCCCAGGGCCACGGGCGUGCCCAACACAGCGGGCAUCCCCUGCAGGGCGUCCUACCAGUGCCCGGCAGGUUCAGCUCAGGAGACCUUGUGUCUGGCUGGGUUCUACUGCGGACCCCAGACAGGGGAGCCGCCGCCGUGCCCCCUGGGAUACAUGUGCCCACAGGGCUCCCACACGCACAGCAGUCCACAGCAGCAGUGCUCUUUCCCGUUCUUCUGCCCAGUGGGGAGCUCUGCCAAGCUCGCCUGCCCAGGUGGUUUCAUGCCCGUGAACUCCACAGGCCUGCGGGCAUCUCUGGAGAGCUCCUGUGUGCCCUGUCAGGCUGGCACAUACCGCCCAGCACUCGCCUCCGUCCUGCAGUGCCAGCCCUGCCCGCCUGGGUACCACUGCCCCGCAGGAGCAGAGAGCCCCAGUAGUCACCCCUGUCCAGCUGGAUACUUUUGCCCCCCGGGGUCUGCCAGCCCGCUUCCUUGCCCACCUGGUUUCUACGGCAACCGCACCAACCUGGAGGCUGUCGAGGAAUGCCAGACGUGCCCGGCGAGCACCUUCAACCACCUGCCAGCACAGACGGCCUGCUUCCCCUGUGGCAGCUCAGCCACAUCGGUCCAAGGCUCCUCGAGCUGCAGCUGCAUUGGGAGGAAGAGGGCCUUCCAGCCGUCCGACGGCUCGUGUUUGUGUCAGACGGGCUUUGUGUUCUACAACCAGCUGGACUUCAAGAGCUCCAGCGCAGACAGCCGGCUGGACUGCCAACCUGAGGUCAGAGGUGAGUAA
rnacentral:lncRNA from 1 species